UACGAAGGGGGCUAGCGUUGCUCGGAAUCACUGGGCGUAAAGGGUGCGUAGGCGGGUUUUUAAGUCAGAGGUGAAAUCCUGGAGCUCAACUCCAAAACUGCCUUUGAUACUGAAAGUCUUGAGUAUGGGAGAGGUGAGUGGAACUGCGAGUGUAGAGGUGAAAUUCGUAGAUAUUCGCAAGAACACCAGUGGCGAAGGCGGCUCACUGGCCCAUUACUGACGCUGAGGCACGAAAGCGUGGGGAGCAAACAGGG
rnacentral:rRNA from 1 species